AUCUCCAAUUAAUGAAGGGUAGAUUUUUCUGCAGAUAAUGUUUUAGUUUAAAUGUAAAAACUAUAAGUUCUAAGUAUUUAUAAUUUUAAGUGCAGAAAGUAGUUACUGUUAUCCAUCCUGAAAGUAAGAUAUACACAAAAUUUACAUAUUUUAUACAAAU